rnacentral:rRNA from 1 species
GAUCAACGCUGGCGGCGUGCCUAAUACAUGCAAGUCGAGCGAACGGACGAGAAUCUUGCGUCUCUGAUGUUAGCGGCGGACGGGUGAGUAACACGUGUAUAACCUACCUAUAAGACUGGGAUAACUUCGGGAAACCGGAGCUAAUACCGGAUGAUAUUUUGAACCGCAGGGUUCAAAAGUAAAAGACGGUCUUGCUGUCACUUAUAGAUGGAUCCGCGCUGCAUUAGAUAGUUGGUAAGUUAACGGCUUACCAAGGCAACGAUGCAUAGCCGAGCUGAGAGGGUGAUAGGCCACACUAGAAGUGAGACAGGCACAAGACUCCUACGGGAGGCAGCAGUAGGGAAUCGUAGGCAAUGGGCGAAAGCCUGACGCAGCAAGGCCGAGUGAGUGAUGAAGGUCUUCGGAUCGUAAAACUCUGUUAUUAGGGAAGAACAUAUGUGUAAGUAAAUGUGCACAUAUUGACGGUACCUAAUCAGAAAGCCCCGGCUAACUACGUG